GAUAAACGCUGGCGGCGUGCAUGAGACAUGCAAGUCGAACGAAGGAUCGGGCUUGCUCGAUCCUUAGUGGCGGACGGCUGAGUAACGCGUAGGUGACCUACCCCGAAGUGGGGAAUAACUGCCCGAAAGGGUGGCUAAUACCGCAUGUGGUCGCACGUUCAUUCGUGCGAGUAAAGCCGCAAGGCGCUUCGGGAGGGGCCUGCGUCCGAUUAGCUCGUUGGUGGGGUAAUGGCUUACCAAGGCGACGAUCGGUAGGUGGUCGGAGAGGACGAUCACCCAGACUGGGACUGAGACACGGCCCAGACUCCUACGGGAGGCAGCAGUCGGGAAUUUUGCUCAAUGGGGGAAACCCUGAAGCAGCAACGCCGCGUGAGGGAUGAAGGCCUUCGGGUUGUAAACCUCUUUUGUCAGGGACGAUGAUGACGGUACCUGGCGAAUAAGCCACGGCUAACUACGUG
rnacentral:rRNA from 1 species